UACAGAGGGGGCAAGCGUUGUUCGGAAUUACUGGGCGUAAAGAGCGCGCAGGCGGCUGGUCAAGUCCGAUGUGAAAUCUCCCGGCUUAACUGGGAAACUGCAUCGGAAACUGAUCGGCUUGAAGGUGGGAGAGGGUAGUGGAAUUCCCGGUGUAGUGGUGAAAUGCGUAGAUAUCGGGAGGAACACCAGUGGCGAAGGCGACUACCUGGCCCAUUCUUGACGCUGAGGCGCGAAAGCUAGGGGAGCGAACGGG
rnacentral:rRNA from 1 species